GUUGUAUGGUUAAGUGACUAAGCGUACAGGGCGGAUGCCUUGGCAAUCAGAGGCGAAGAAGGACGUGCUAAUCUGCGAAAAGCUUGGAUGAGUCGAUAAGAGGCGUUUAAUCCAAGAUGUCCGAAUGGGGAAACCCGAUGGAUGAAGAAUCCAUCAUUUCAUUGUGAAUACAUAGCAAUGAAAGGCGAACCGGGAGAACUGAAACAUCUAAGUACCCCGAGGAAAAGAAAUCAACCGAGAUUCUGUGAGUAGCGGCGAGCGAAAGCGGAAGAGCCAGUAAGUUUUAGCUAGUGUAUUAGAGGAAUUGGCUGGGAAGCCAAAUCAAAGAGGGUGAUAAUCCCGUACUCGAAAAUACGAUAGUGGAACUAAGCUUACGAUAAGUAGGGCGGGACACGAGAAAUCCUGUUUGAAGAUGGGGGGACCAUCCUCCAAGGCUAAAUACUCCUGAUUGACCGAUAGUGAACCAGUACUGUGAAGGAAAGGCGAAAAGAACCCCGGUGAGGGGAGUGAAAUAGAACCUGAAACCCUGUACGUACAAGCAGUAGGAGCGAGGGCAACCUUGUGACUGCGUACCUUUUGUAUAAUGGGUCAGCGACUUAUAUUUUGUAGCGAGGUUAACUGAAUAAGGGAGCCGAAGGGAAACCGAGUCUUAACUGGGCGUUGAGUUGCAAGGUAUAGACCCGAAACCCGGUGAUCUAGCCAUGGGCAGGUUGAAGGUUGGGUAACACUAACUGGAGGACCGAACCGACUAAUGUUGAAAAAUUAGCGGAUGACUUGUGGCUGGGGGUGAAAGGCCAAUCAAACCGGGAGAUAGCUGGUUCUCCCCGAAAUCUAUUUAGGUAGAGCCUUGAGCGGACACCUUCGGGGGUAGAGCACUGUUUCGGCUAGGGGUCCAUCCCGGAUUACCAACCCGAUGCAAACUGCGAAUACCGAAGAGUGAUACUCAGGAGACACACGGCGGGUGCUAACGUUCGUCGUGGAGAGGGAAACAACCCAGACCGCCAGCUAAGGUCCCAAAGUCUAUAUUAAGUGGGAAACGAAGUGGGAAGGCUUAGACAGCUAGGAUGUUGGCUUAGAAGCAGCCAUCAUUUAAAGAAAGCGUAAUAGCUCACUAGUCGAGUCGGCCUGCGCGGAAGAUGUAACGGGGCUCAAAUAUAGCACCGAAGCUGCGGCAUCAGAAUUUAUUCUGUUGGGUAGGGGAGCGUUGUGUAAGCGGAAGAAGGUGGCUCGAGAGGGUUGCUGGACGUAUCACAAGUGCGAAUGCUGACAUAAGUAACGAUAAAACGAGUGAAAAACUCGUUCGCCGGAAGACCAAGGGUUCCUGUCCAACGUUAAUCGGGGCAGGGUGAGUCGGCCCCUAAGGCGAGGCUGAAAAGCGUAGUCGAUGGGAAACGGGUUAAUAUUCCCGUACUUGGUAAAGCUGCGAUGUGGGGACGGAGAAGGUUAGGUAAGCGGACUGUUGGAAAUGUUCGUUUAAGCAGGUAGUUGGAAAGGGUAGGCAAAUCCGCUCUUUCAUACAACAACGAGACGUGAUGACGAGUUCCUAAGGGAAUGAAGUUACCGAUACCCGGCUUCCAGGAAAAGCCACUAAGCGAAAGGCUUUACUAAACCGUACUGAAAACCGACACAGGUGGUCAGGUAGAGAAUACUCAGGCGCUUGAGAGAACUCGGGUGAAGGAACUAGGCAAAAUAGCACCGUAACUUCGGGAGAAGGUGCGCUUACAGUAAUUGUAGUCCCUUGCGGAUGAAGGUGAAGUAAGUCGAAGAUACCAGCUGGCUGCAACUGUUUAUUAAAAACACAGCACUCUGCAAACACGAAAGUGGACGUAUAGGGUGUGAUGCCUGCCCGGUGCUGGAAGGUUAAUUGAUGGUGUUAUCGAAAGAGAAGCUCCUGAUCGAAGCCCCAGUAAACGGCGGCCGUAACUAUAACGGUCCUAAGGUAGCGAAAUUCCUUGUCGGGUAAGUUCCGACCUGCACGAAUGGCAUAAUGAUGGCCAGGCUGUCUCCACCCGAGACUCAGUGAAAUUGAAAUCGCCGUGAAGAUGCGGUGUACCCGCGGCUAGACGGAAAGACCCCGUGAACCUUUACUAUAGCUUGACACUGAACAUUGAAUUUUGAUGUGUAGGAUAGGUGGGAGCCUUUGAAGCAGGAACGCCAGUUUCUGUGGAGGCGACCUUGAAAUACCACCCUUUAACGUUUGAUGUUCUAACGAAGUGCCUGAAACGGGUACUCGGACAGUGUCUGGUGGGUAGUUUGACUGGGGCGGUCUCCUCCCAAAGCGUAACGGAGGAGCACGAAGGUUUGCUAAUGACGGUCGGACAUCGUCAGGUUAGUGCAAUGGUAUAAGCAAGCUUAACUGCGAGACGGACAAGUCGAGCAGGUGCGAAAGCAGGUCAUAGUGAUCCGGUGGUUCUGAAUGGAAGGGCCAUCGCUCAACGGAUAAAAGGUACUCCGGGGAUAACAGGCUGAUACCGCCCAAGAGUUCAUAUCGACGGCGGUGUUUGGCACCUCGAUGUCGGCUCAUCACAUCCUGGGGCUGAAGUAGGUCCCAAGGGUAUGGCUGUUCGCCAUUUAAAGUGGUACGCGAGCUGGGUUUAGAACGUCGUGAGACAGUUCGGUCCCUAUCUGCCGUGGGCGUUGGAUGAUUGAUUGGGGCUGCUCCUAGUACGAGAGGACCGGAGUGGACGCAUCACUGGUGUUCCAGUUGUCUCGCCAGAGGCAUUGCUGGGUAGCUAAAUGCGGAAGAGAUAAGUGCUGAAAGCAUCUAAGCACGAAACUUGCCAAGAGAUGAGUCAUCCCUGACUUUAAGUCAGUAAGGGUUGUUUAAGACUAAGACGUAGAUAGGUUGGGUGUGUAAGUGUAGUGAUACAUUGAGCUAACCAAUACUAAUUGCCCGAGAGGCUUAACCAUACAACGCUCAAG
rnacentral:rRNA from 1 species